rnacentral:misc_RNA from 1 species
CCAAAACUUAGCUGCUCCAGUUCAGGCUGGUUGCACGCUUCAACCCUUUGUGAACCAAAAACCUUUACGCUUCGGCAGCUGGUUCCAGCUGUAAGCCUGCCGAUGGCACCCAUUUAAACCUGUCGUUAAAUAUUUGUCUGAACUAAAUAUUUUCGAAUGAAAAUUA